rnacentral:rRNA from 1 species
GACGAACGCUGGCGGCGUGCCUAAUACAUGCAAGUAGAACGCUGAAGGAGGAGCUUGCUUCUCUGGAUGAGUUGCGAACGGGUGAGUAACGCGUAGGUAACCUGCCUGGUAGCGGGGGAUAACUAUUGGAAACGAUAGCUAAUACCGCAUAAGAGUAGAUGUUGCAUGACAUUUGCUUAAAAGGUGCAAUUGCAUCACUACCAGAUGGACCUGCGUUGUAUUAGCUAGUUGGUGGGGUAACGGCUUACCAAGGCGACGAUACAUAGCCGACCUGAGAGGGUGAUCGGCCACACUGGGACUGAGACACGGCCCAGACUCCUACGGGAGGCAGCAGUAGGGAAUCUUCGGCAAUAGACGGAAGUCUGACCGAGCAACGCCGCGUGAGUGAAGAAGGUUGUCGGAUCGUAAAGCUCUGUUGUAAGAGAAGAACGAGUGUGAGAGUGGAAAGUUCACACUGUGACGGUAUCUUACCAGAAAGGGACGGCUAACUACGUG